rnacentral:rRNA from 1 species
AGAAUCAACGCUGGCGGCGUGCCUAACACAUGCAAGUCGAACGCGAAAGUCCCGCAAGGGAUGAGUAGAGUGGCAAACGGGUGAGUAACACGUGGGUGACCUGCCUUCGAGCGGGGGAUAACGUCCCGAAAGGGACGCUAAUACCGCAUGACAUCCUGCCUUUGAAGAGGUGGAGAUCAAAGCUGGGGAUCGCAAGACCUAGCACUCGAAGAGGGGCCCGCGCCUGAUUAGCUAGUUGGUGGGGUAAUGGCUCACCAAGGCGACGAUCAGUAG